rnacentral:rRNA from 1 species
GAGUUUGAUCCUGGCUCAGGAUGAACGCUGGCGGCGUGCCUAACACAUGCAAGUCGAACGAAGCGUGCGGAUGGAAUUUCUUCGGAGAGGAAGCCUGCAUGACUGAGUGGCGGACGGGUGAGUAACGCGUGGGCAACCUGCCCUGCACAGGGGGACAACAGCCGGAAACGGUUGCUAAUACCGCAUAAGCGCACAGCUUCGCAUGGAGCAGUGUGAAAAGCUGCGGCGGUGCAGGAUGGGCCCGCGUCUGAUUAGCUGGUUGGCGGGGCAACGGCCCACCAAGGCGACGAUCAGUAGCCGGCCUGAGAGGGUGGACGGCCACAUUGGGACUGAGACACGGCCCAGACUCCUACGGGAGGCAGCAGUGGGGAAUAUUGCACAAUGGGGGAAACCCUGAUGCAGCGACGCCGCGUGAGCGAAGAAGUAUUUCGGUAUGUAAAGCUCUAUCAGCAGGGAAGAAAUUGACGGUACCUGAGUAAGAAGCUCCGGCUAAAUACGUGCCAGCAGCCGCGGUAAUACGUAUGGAGCAAGCGUUAUCCGGAUUUACUGGGUGUAAAGGGAGCGUAGGCGGCCUGUCAAGUCUGAUGUGAAAUACCGGGGCUCAACCCCGGGGCUGCAUUGGAAACUGGCAGGCUGGAGUG